CAGCAGCCGCGGUAAUACAGAGGGUGCGAGCGUUAAUCGGAAUUACUGGGCGUAAAGCGCGCGUAGACGGUUUUGUAAGUCAGAUGUGAAACCCUGGGCUCAACCUGGGAACUGCAUUUGAAACUGCAUGGCUAGAGUAUCGAAGAGGGAAGUGGAAUUUCCGGUGUAGCGGUGAAAUGCGUAGAUAUCGGAAGGAACACCAGUGGCGAAAGCGACUUCCUGGUCGAAUACUGACGUUCAUGUGCGAAAGCGUGGGGAGCAAACAGGAUUAGAUACCCCGGUAGUCCCUGUCUCUUAUACA
rnacentral:rRNA from 1 species